rnacentral:sRNA from 1 species
UCUUUCUACUAUUCAAUCGAGACUUCGA